AUUGAACGCUGGCGGCAGGCCUAACACAUGCAAGUCGAGCGUGCGGCGGGCGGUUGAGUAAUGUCUGGGAAACUGCCUGAUGGAGGGGGAUAACUACUGGAAACGGUAGCUAAUACCGCAUACCAUCUGCUUUGCCCAGGUGGGAUUGGCUAGUAGGUGGGGUAACGGCUCACCUAGGCGACGAACCCUAGCUGGUCUGAGAGGAUGACCAGCCACACUGGAACUGAGACACGGUCCAGACUCCUACGGGAGGCAGCAGUAGGGAAUAUUGCACAAUGGGCGAAAGCCUGAUGCAGCCAUGCCGCGGGUGUGAAGAAGGCCUUCGGGUUGUAAAGCACUUUCAGCGGGGAGGCGUUACCCGAAGAAGAAGCAACGGCUAACUACGUGCCAGCAGCCGCGGUAAUAC
rnacentral:rRNA from 1 species